UUGCAGAUUCNGUGAAUCAUCGAAUCUUUGAACGCACAUUGCGCCCGCCAGUAUUCUGGCGGGCAUGCCUGUCCGAGCGUCAUUUCAACCCUCGAACCCCUCCGGGGGGUCGGCGUUGGGGAUCGGCCCUCCCUUAGCGGGUGGCCGUCUCCGAAAUACAGUGGCGGUCUCGCCGCAGCCUCUCCUGCGCAGUAGUUUGCACACUCGCAUCGGGAGCGCGGCGCGUCCACAGCCGUUAAACACCCAACUUCUGAAAUGUUGACCUCGGAUCAGGUAGGAAUACCCGCUGAACUUAAGCAUAUCANNNNGCGGAGGAA
rnacentral:rRNA from 1 species